UACGUAGGGGGCAAGCGUUGUCCGGAUUUACUGGGCGUAAAGAGCGCGUAGGCGGACGUUUAAGUGUGGCCUGAAAGCCCCCGGCUCAACCGGGGAUCCGGGUUGCAAACUGGACGUCUUGAGGGGGAUAGGGGAAGGUGGAAUUCCUGGUGUAGCGGUGAAAUGCGUAGAGAUCAGGAGGAACACCGGUGGCGAAGGCGGCAUCCUGGACCGGCAUUGACGCUGAGGCGCGAAAGCCAGGGGAGCAAACGGG
rnacentral:rRNA from 1 species